UUCCCGGUUGAUCCUGCCCGGAAGCUAUUGCUAUCAGGGUUUGACUAAGCCAUGCGAGUCGAGAGGUGAAAGACCUCGGCAUACUGCUCAGUAACACGUGGAUAAUCUGCCCUCAGGUGAGGAAUAAUCCCGGGAAACUGGGGCUAAUGCCUCAUAGGAGACGGGUGCUGGAAUGCUCUGUCUCCCAAAGGUCCGCCGCCUGAGGAUGAGUCUGCGUCCGAUUAGGUAGUUGUUGGGGUAACGGCCCAACAAGCCUUUGAUCGGUACGGGUUGUGGGAGCAAGAGCCCGGAGAUGGAUUCUGAGACAUGAAUCCAGGCCCUACGGGGCGCAGCAGGCGCGAAAACUUUACAAUGCGAGCAAUCGUGAUAAGGAAACCCUGAGUGCCUGUCAAUGCAGGCUGUUCUGGUGUCUAACACACACCAGGAGAAAGGGCGGGGCAAGACCGGUGCCAGCCGCCGCGGUAAUACCGGCUGCUCGAGUGAUAGCCACUUUUACUGGGCUUAAAGCGUUCGUAGCUUGGUCGUUAAGUCUCUGGGGAAAUCUUUUGGCUCAACCAAAAGGCGUCUCAGGGAAACUGGCGAUCUUGGAACCGGGAGAGGUAAGACGUACUUCGGGGGUAGGAGUGAAAUCUUGUAAUCCCCGAGGGACGACCGAUGGCGAAGGCAUCUUACCAGAACGGCUUCGACAGUGAGGGACGAAAGCUGGGGGAGCAAACCGGAUUAGAUACCCGGGUAGUCCCAGCCGUAAACGAUGUGCGUUAGGUGUGUCAGUGACCACGAGUCGCUGAGGUGCCGAAGGGAAACCGUGAAACGCACCGCCUGGGAAGUACGGUCGCAAGGCUGAAACUUAAAGGAAUUGGCGGGGGAGCAC
rnacentral:rRNA from 1 species